CAAUCUUUUGUAAUUUUUUAAGUCUAUUCCAUUUAUUUCUGCUCUGAUCUUUAUUAUUUCCUUUCUUCUACUAAUUUUGUGUUUAGUUUGUUCUUUUUUCUAGUUCCUUGAGGUAUAAUACAAUAUUACAUUGCUGAAGAUCUUCCUUCUUAAACGUCCCACUAAGAACUGCUUUUGCUGUAUUCCAUGGGUUUUAGUGUGUGUUAAUUUUCAUUUGUCUCAAGAAAUUCAUUCCUCUUUAUUUCAUUCCAGCCUGAGUGAGACUCUAUCUCAGAAAAGAAAAAAGGAGGCGGGGGCAGGGGCGAUGGCUCAUGCCUGUAAUCCCAGCACUUUGGGAGGCCAAGGCAGAUGGAUCACGAGGUCAAGAGAUCGAGACUAUCCUGGCCAACAUGCUUACAAGAAGACCAAGGUUCAUGGUUCAGGGACUACAUCCAGAGAAAAAUCCCACAUGACUGGAGCAUGGCUGACAGAAUAGGAGGAAAAAAAGAAGGCUUUCUCCCCACAAAAGACAACUGUCCCUGAAAGGUACCAAAACAGAGCAAAACAUCCAGGAGAACCAAAUUGAAACUCAGAAAAGAGACAAUUUCUGAGGCCCACCAGAUCCUGAUUCCAUUUUGAAAUACUCUAUUGCAGUACCUCUGGGUAAAUAUUAGCUGGUUGCUAAAGAUAGGAUCUGAGGCUGAGCCAAUUCUUAAGGCACCAGCUGUCUUGAGGAGGAAGAUGAAGUCUGUGAAUGAAGGACAGCAGACUUGCUUCUAGGAAAAUAAUAUCUGAUAAGGAUGGUCAAGGAAGAUACAUGUCAUCACUUUAAAUUAAACCAACUUUACCAAAA